UCUUUCUUUCCUUGUCCCUCUCCCUUCUCAUCACUUUUUUUCUUUUAACAUAUAGGGCAUUUACCUUACUUUUGUCUAUUUCCAUUUGUUUCCGUCUUCAUUCUUGUUCAUCUCUGCUAUUCCUUCUCCCGCCAGAAGGGAUGGAAACCCUAUUUGCUUUUCUCAAAGACCAUGGUUGGUCUACUUUCCUCACUCAGGCUCCUUGACAGUCUUCUAGAAGAGAGAAGAAGGAGAAGAAGCAGUUCCUGAUGUUACAAAUGAACAAGGAUCUCCCAGUCUGAGUCUUUGAGAAAAGGUGGCUGAAAGAGAGGAGUCCCCAGGUCCUCAAACAAAUGCCUAUCUAAACAUCAUCCUUAUCUUGUGAAGAAAACAAGAAGAAUUUCAUGCACCAUGUGAAUCACCUUCAGUUCAAAGUUGCAGCAAAAUGAAGAAACUACUGGAAGCUGCCAAGCAAUGCACUGUUGAGUCAUCAAUUAGGAGCCCACAGGAGGAUAAUAGAGAGGGAGACUGGGUGGAGGCUCAGUGUGGAAUAAUCUCUUGUCUAAUGUAUGUGUGUCACUGCCAUGUUGUAUUAAUAAUGAGAGCUCACAUUUACUUAACACUUGUGUGCUAAAAUCUGGGGUUUUAUUCUUUCCAGAACCAUGACUCAAUCAUAAAAUCUGUUUUGUUUGUAUGCAUACCCCAAACCACGCUAUGAGUAGAGCAUUGCCAUUAUCUCUGAUUUAGAGAUGAGGAAACGGGCUCAGAGAAGCUCAGUAAUUUGUCCAAGAUUGCACAGCUAGUAAAUGGCAGAAGUAGGAUUGUGAACCCAGGAAAUCUCCAGAGCUUCUGUGUAACCAUGAUGUUAUAUUUUUGUCCUCUUUAAAAACAAUAUUAAAUACCUUGCUA